rnacentral:tRNA from 1 species
AGUUUUAAUAGUUUAAUUAAAAUUUUGGUCUUGUAAACCAAAGAUGAAUUUUUUCUUAAAAC